rnacentral:rRNA from 1 species
AAAUUGAAGAGUUUGAUCAUGGCUCAGAUUGAACGCUGGCGGCAGGCCUAACACAUGCAAGUCGAACGGUAACAGGAAGCAGCUUGCUGCUUCGCUGACGAGUGGCGGACGGGUGAGUAAUGUCUGGGAAACUGCCUGAUGGAGGGGGAUAACUACUGGAAACGGUGGCUAAUACCGCAUAACGUCGCAAGACCAAAGAGGGGGACCUUCGGGCCUCUUGCCAUCAGAUGUGCCCAGAUGGGAUUAGCUUGUUGGUGAGGUAACGGCUCACCAAGGCGACGAUCCCUAGCUGGUCUGAGAGGAUGACCAGCCACACUGGAACUGAGACACGGUCCAGACUCCUACGGGAGGCAGCAGUGGGGAAUAUUGCACAAUGGGCGCAAGCCUGAUGCAGCCAUGCCGCGUGUAUGAAGAAGGCCUUCGGGUUGUAAAGUACUUUCAGCGGGGAGGAAGGUGUUGUGGUUAAUAACCGCAGCAAUUGACGUUACCCGCAGAAGAAGCACCGGCUAACUCCGUGCCAGCAGCCGCGGUAAUACGGAGGGUGCAAGCGUUAAUCGGAAUUACUGGGCGUAAAGCGCACGCAGGCGGUCUGUCAAGUCGGAUGUGAAAUCCCCGGGCUCAACCUGGGAACUGCAUUCGAAACUGGCAGGCUUGAGUCUUGUAGAGGGGGGUAGAAUUCCAGGUGUAGCGGUGAAAUGCGUAGAGAUCUGGAGGAAUACCGGUGGCGAAGGCGGCCCCCUGGACAAAGACUGACGCUCAGGUGCGAAAGCGUGGGGAGCAAACAGGAUUAGAUACCCUGGUAGUCCACGCCGUAAACGAUGUCUACUUGGAGGUUGUGCCCUUGAGGCGUGGCUUCCGGAGCUAACGCGUUAAGUAGACCGCCUGGGGAGUACGGCCGCAAGGUUAAAACUCAAAUGAAUUGACGGGGGCCCGCACAAGCGGUGGAGCAUGUGGUUUAAUUCGAUGCAACGCGAAGAACCUUACCUGGUCUUGACAUCCACAGAACUUUCCAGAGAUGGAUUGGUGCCUUCGGGAACUGUGAGACAGGUGCUGCAUGGCUGUCGUCAGCUCGUGUUGUGAAAUGUUGGGUUAAGUCCCGCAACGAGCGCAACCCUUAUCCUUUGUUGCCAGCGGUUAGG